UACGGAGGGUGCAAGCGUUAUCCGGAUUUACUGGGUUUAAAGGGUGUGUAGGCGGACUUUUAAGUCAGGGGUGAAAUCCCGAGGCUCAACCUCGGAACUGCCUUUGAUACUAUUGGUCUUGAAUCUUGUUGAGGUGGGCGGAACGGGUCAUGUAGCGGUGAAAUGCAUAGAUAUGACCCGGAACACCGAUUGCGAAGGCAGCCCACUAAGCAAUGAUUGACGCUGAGGCACGAAAGCGUGGGGAUCAAACAGG
rnacentral:rRNA from 1 species